CUCUAGAGAGAGGGGGCAGGGAGAGGGUGGGGGUGGGGUGGGGGCGGCCGGCCGGCAGGCGCCGCUGCUCGGGUGGUCUCCUUUGUACCGCAGCCGCGAGAGGAGGGAGGCGAUGCCGCUGUCGGACAGCCACCACCGGUAGAGCCCGCGGUGCCGCCACGAGACGCUCCGGUAGAGGACCGAGGAGUAGAUGGCGUGGCGGUGGAUGUUGAGGGAGGCGCGGAGGUAGCUCGCGGUGAGGGCGUUCGAGCUGAGGUACUUCAGGUAGAGGAGCCCGCGGCCGCCGCGGCGCGGGAGGAGGGUCGGCCGGAGGAGCGCCCGGUUCUUCUACCUGGCGCAGCUCAGGUCGGAGUUCCUGCGGAGCGCCCUCGAGAGGGAGCGGUUCGAGUUCAGGCCACGGCAGCAGCGGCGGCACGAGAAGCAGCAGAAGCCGGAGGAGUUGAGCGAGAAGCUCCCGGCGCGGCAGCGGUUCGACGGGAAGCGCGGGCAGGGCGAGCACGUCGCGUACUCGGUGGCGCCGGACGGGCCCUUGCUGGGGUGGCUGACGCGGUACCAGAAGGAGAUGAAGGAGACGAGGUACUCGUAUGCCUGUUUGGAGGUCUUCGACGAGCCGAAGUGCGGCGGGGCGCGCCGGCGCCCCCGGCCGCCACCGGAGAAGCGGUACGGGCUAGGGUUUCGGUUAACUCGAACUACUAGGGGAGAAGAUAUGUAUGUACACUACGUGGACCAGACUUCGUUUCGUAGACUCAACCAGAGGGCCUUUCUCAACGACGGGACUUUCCUUCUAUUUAUUGGAUGGAUCAGCGAGUCUCCUCUUUGUGACGUUCUGUGACAUUGCUGUGUUAAGUAAAAAAGGUGGGUACUAUUCGUCCGCACUUGGCACGCAUCCGACCGACAUAGCUAGUACUUGUAAGAGCUCAAGUGGGCUUCGUUAGACAACGGCCCAAACAGCAUCCCAACAUGAAAUAGUAGUCAGCAAGAUCAUAGUUUUAACUACAGAUAGCACAGCAGCGGUGCCUGUUCCAACGGCAACGAUCAAACGGGCACGUUGCGAGCGAACGAACGACAGGGGGACCUCACGGCCAAGUUCGCGGCCGAACGGAUAGAUGGAACGUGCCAGCUACAGCCACAGCUGUACCGUCGGCGAGGCCACACGUGUUUUCAACGACCAUCCAUUCCUAUAGACCGGCGGCCGGCAGCACAUGGCGUGACCGGCUGCCCGUUUUCGUGCCUGCCCGGUGGAGCUUUAUCUCCCACGCGCGCCGGGGGUGCGAGAGGGGCUACGUCUUUCGAACCCACCGCAGCAGGUUACCCUGCCUUUUCACGUGCCGUCGCAAAUAAGUCAUGAUGAUCAUAUAGGUGGUUAGGUCCCAUCCACGCCUGUCUGUCCCGUAGACGUAAACGGAAAACCGCGCCCCGUCUGUGGGUCUCCGGCCCGGGGCCGUCCGUAGCAUGGAUAGAACCGUAGCCUCGGCCUCGCUUGGGUGUAGGUUUUGGAUCGCUCGCUCCGUAGGGAAAGUGAGGAGUUCAAGAGUAGGCCUACCGAAACCGUAUCUAUCAACAGGGAGGUUCGGUCGGCCCAGAUCUAGAACAGCAGAGGUGGUCUAGGGUCCGUCUCGUCAACCAAUGAACCGACUAGGCCCAACCCACUGUGCAAGACGAGAGGGCGAGGGCGAGGUCUGUGGUGGCGUGCUUGGGUUAGCUCUGUCUCUACGACUCGGCGAUGAAACCGGCGCGGCUGCGGCCGCGGCGGCUCCUGGGCCGCGGCCUCGGGAAGAGGAAGGGGCUCGGGGAGGGCUGCACCGGCGUUCCACCGCCCAAGCGCGCCCCGUCCUAGGCGCACCGGCCUCCCCUCGACCUCGAGCGGCGCCGGUGCCGGAAGCUGUUUUAGACGUGGGACAGCGGAAGCCGCGCCGACGUCGCGACGUUGCCGCGGUGGAAGAUGGCCGGCCGGCCGCAGGGGCUCCCGAAGUGUCACGACCCGGUGAUGACGGUCGGGUUGUCGGCGGCCGAGGUGCCGGUGGAGGAGCAGCGGUCCCGGCGGCUGGGCGGCGCGAGGUGCCUCGGCGGAGAGGCGCGCGGCGCCCUGAUACUCGAGCAGACCCGGAAGGUGCGGUGGCCGCGCUCGCGCCCGCGCCCGAGAACGCGGCCGAUGCCGGCGUCGCUGCGGAUGAAGACCGAGGGGCACGGCGGCCUCCCCAUGGCCCGCGAGCCCUAGGAGCAGUGCUGCCUCGGGCCGUUCGGCCGCGAGCUGCGCCACCCGACGCACGCGCGGCUGGAGUGGCUGCUCACGCUCGGCGUGUCGAGCGACGAGGUGGACGUCGAGUGCGCGGGCUGCAGCCGCAGCGGGCCCUUCAGGAAGCGGCACGCACCGCACUCCGGCGACUUUUCUCCCUACGCCCUCUUCCCGUAGCCGCGCCCGUGAAAGACCACGCGGCGGCGCCUGCCCACGAGCAGGGGCCGGGGCUCGCUCGUCCCGGAGCGCACGGAGUUCUUGCAGCUGGAGCUGGACAGCCGCUACGGCUGGGACCUCGUCCACGUGCGGCACUAGGUCGUAAUGCCCGGGUGCGAGAUGAAGGUGGGCUUUCUCCAGAUGGACGGCAGCAGGCAGCGGACCAUGAAGUUCUUGCCCCGGUUCGACAAGUUCUUUCCUCCCCCGCGGCAGCCGCUCCUCUAGCUGCGGCUCCCCAGGUUGGAGGGCCCGCCGCCCACCUUGCUGCCCCUCAUGACCUACCUGUAUGGCCUCCCGUUCUCCUCCGUCCGCCAGUAGGCGCCGCUGUACCUCUCGCGCCUCGACAUGCGCGUGCACUUCGGCCGCUACCCGCCCCGCACGUGGCUGCACCGGUACACCCACAAGACGGGCAAGUUGCCGGGCCGGUCCGACUUCGAGCCGGAGUAGUUGGAGGGCGACCCGUGCUGGCCCGUCGUGCAGCCGCUGACCCUCGUGAAGUGCGAGGCCCAGUCGUUGAAGUGGCCGCUCGAGUACCGGCAGAUGAUGAGCGUCGUGUCGCCCCCGUCCACCCACCUGCGCCGGUUCGACCUCAUGCGGCGCCCCUUGUCCGGCCGCCACAUGAGCAGGGCCUUGCCCGUGCGCUCGAUGGGCGCGCGGCCGCACAUGGACGUCCCGAGCCGCCGCGAGCCCCAGCCCUAGGACUUGCUCCGGCGGGCCUCGUUCGACAGGCAGCUGAGGUCGCAGUCCAUGGCGCACCACCGCCGCCUCAUGGACCCUCUGCCGUAGCACCGGCUCGGGGUCACCGACGUCAAGUACGCCCUCACCCCCGGCUGCCACUAGAUGUCCAGCUCCUGCCCCUGCCUCGCCUACCAGUUCUCAUACGGGGUCGCCGAGUCAACAGGCCGCCUCUUGUACGACUUGUUCUACGGCUUGCUCGAGAGGUUUCUCCUUCCGGGCUGGCCCGGGUUCCUCUUCUUAUACACCCUCCCUCUACUUUCUACCAUCCGCAUCUUACUUCACACGACCGAACUAUAGGACUAACAACCCUGCUAACAUAAACAUAACAUUGUACUGGUCUUGAUCUAAGAACGACCAUUGUGCUUAACACUCGCAAACAUAGGAGGUUACCUUCACUUUUUCAACGUUGGUUUCUC
rnacentral:rRNA from 1 species